ACGCUCGACACCUACGGGGGCAGCAGUAGGGAAUCUUCCACAAUGGACGCAAGUCUGAUGGAGCAACGCCGCGUGAGUGAAGAAGGUUUUCGGAUCGUAAAGCUCUGUUGUUGGUGAAGAAGGAUAGAGGUAGUAACUGGCCUUUAUUUGACGGUAAUCAACCAGAAAGUCACGGCUAACUACGUGCCUGCAGCCGCGGUAAUCUGAGCGGGCUGGCAAGGC
rnacentral:rRNA from 1 species